AUAAUCACCCCUUUUUUAUCACUUUUCAUAUUAUUUCUUAAGAGACAAAAAAGUUGCCGAUCUGUACCUUAGAUGCGUCUAAGUAAAACUUCAACUCGCUGUUUUUCAGAAUGAAAUCACCUACUCAGUGAAGGUGGACGCAAAGCCGAUGGUGAUCACCGGUAAAGUAGACAACGUGCUGGCAGCCCAGGAGGAUGUGCUGGGGGCUUUGAGGAUGGCCCCUCAACAAUUGCAGGAGCAGGCGCUGAUUCCUCCUGUGGGAGUGGUCCCCCGGGGCACCCGCAUGAACCAGGGCGGCCCAGGGGGGCCAGGAGGCCCCAUGAUGAACCAAAGUGGUCCCGG
rnacentral:ribozyme from 1 species